rnacentral:rRNA from 1 species
GACGAACGCUGGCGGCGCGCUUAACACAUGCAAGUCGAACGGAAAGGCCUGCUUUCCCUUGUGGAUUGCGGGUACUCGAGUGGCGAACGGGUGAGUAACACGUGAGUGAUCUGCCCCCAACUUGGGUAUAAGCCUGGGAAACUGGGUCUAAUUCCCGAUAGGACUGCAGGGUGGUGCCUGAGGUGGAAAACGAUUUUCUAGUGGUUGGGGAUGAGCUCGCGGCCUAUCAGCUUGUUGGUGGGGUAAUGGCCUACCAAGGCGGCGACGGGUAGCCGGCCUGAGAGGGUGGACGGCCACAUUGGGACUGAGAUACGGCCCAGACUCCUACGGGAGGCAGCAGUGGGGAAUAUUGCACAAUGGGCGGAAGCCUGAUGCAGCGACGCCGCGUGGGGGAUGACGGCCUUCGGGUUGUAAACUCCUUUCGACCGCGAGGAAGCCACCUGGUUGGAAGGGUGGUGACGGUAGUGGUAGAAGAAGCACCGGCUAACUACGUG